rnacentral:rRNA from 1 species
ACUAAAACUAGCCCUAGCACAUACACAACCCAACUAUAAACUACUCUACAACAAAACAUUUGACAAAAGCAAGUAUUGGUGAUAGAAAACUACCCUAGGAGCUAUAGAAGCAGUACCGUAAGGGAAAGAUGAAAGAACAAUUUAAAGUAAAAAUAAGCAAAGAUUAACCCUUGUACCUUUUGCAUAAUGAGUUAACUAGAAACCAUCUGACUAAGAGACCUUAAGCCAGACACCCCGAAACCAAACGAGCUACCUAUUGGGCAGUAAAAAGAACGAACCCGUCUAUGUAGCAAAAUAGUGGGACGACCCCUAGGUAGAGGUGAAAAGCCAACCGAGCUUGGUGAUAGCUGGUUACCCAAUAAAGAAUUUUAGUUCAACUUUAAGAUUACCCUAAGAAAUAACAAUCAAAAUGUAAUCUUAAAAUUUAGCCUGAAGAGGGACAGCUCUUCAGGAAUGGAAACAACCUUUCAUAGUGAAUAAAUAUAUACUCUAGGACCACCGUUGGCUUAAAAGCAGCCACCAGUAAAGAAAGCGUUAAAGCUCAACGCCACACACAACCUUAAUUCCACAAACCACAAUGACUUCCUAUAGUACUAAUUGGGUUAAUCUAUAACCAUAUAGAUGAGACACUGUUAACAUGAGUAACAAGAACACUGUUCUCCAGGCACAAGCCUAUAACAACCCGGAUAACCAUUGUUAGUUAACACCAGCAAGUGAAAAUCCUAUAAAUAAAAUUCACCUGCACUAAACUGUUAGUCCAACACAGGGGUGCCCUAAGGAAAGAUUAAAAGAAGUAAAAGGAACUCGGCAAACAAGAAUCCCGCCUGUUUACCAAAAACAUCACCUCUAGCAUAAAAAGUAUUAGAGGCACCGCCUGCCCAGUGACAAACGUUUAACGGCCGCGGUAUCCUGACCGUGCAAAGGUAGCAUAAUCACUUGUUCCUUAAUUGGGGACUGGAAUGAACGGCUUCACGAGGAUUCAACUGUCUCUUACUUCCAAUCAGUGAAAUUGACCUUCCCGUGAAGAGGCGGGGAUAUCAUAAUAAGACGAGAAGACCCUAUGGAGCUUUAAUUUACUAGCUUAACUUUCCAACUAACCACCCUAAUGGAUUAACUAAUAAGCCAUAAGCUAUAAAUUUCGGUUGGGGCGACCUCGGAGAACAAAAAAACCUCCGAAUGAUCUUACCAAGACCUACAAGUCAAAGUUAUCAAAAUCUAAUUGACCCAAAUUCAUUUGAUCAACGGACCAAGUUACCCUAGGGAUAACAGCGCAAUCCUAUUCAAGAGUCCAUAUCGACAAUUAGGGUUUACGACCUCGAUGUUGGAUCAGGACAUCCCAAUGGUGUAGCAGCUAUUAAUGGUUCGUUUGUUCAACGAUUAAAGUCCUACGUGAUCUGAGUUCAGACCGGAGUAAUCCAGGUCGGUUUCUAUCUAUUAACAAUUUCUCCCAGUACGAAAGGACAAGAGAAAUGGGGCCCCCUUAACCAAAGCGCCUCAAGACUAAUAUAUGAAAUCAUCUCAAUAUAGUAAGUCUGUACCACAAGACCCUAGAUAAGGGUACA